AAGAAGUCCAAUUAAACAAAAAAACCACUUCCCUUUUUCUCAGAUUUUUUUCUCUUGCAAUCAUUAUUUUUCUUACUCUUUGAUUUUACUAGAGUAUCAUUCUUCAUAUUCUCUCCUUUUUCUCAGAUAGUGUUCGCUUUUUAGAGACAGUAAAUUAUAUGCGCCAAGCUUUUUCUCUACUAAACUUUGUCAUCUUCGUGUUUGGGUGGAGACCUUCCAGCGCCGGUGACGGUUUGUGCGGUGAUCUCUAACUCACCCAUUUAAUUUGGAAUCUGAGCAACAUGAUAGAACAGGUGCGGCUUAGUAUUUUUGGUGGUGUUUCUCUCGAUCUCUGUGUAUCUGUGGGAAUUCUGGUGUGGCCGUUCCCUAUGAGAGCUCCGACGCUCUAGUGAUUUGUCGAUUAGAUUACGAUGUUGGUUGUCACUGUAAGAAGACGACGAGAUUAAUGGCGAUGAGUGAAUCCGAUUCGGGUUGCAAGAUACCGAGCCAGUUCUCAGGGCAAGUGGAGGGGUUGCCGAGCCAGUUCUCAGGGCAAGUGGAGGGGUUGGUGAGGCUGCUCGUAGCGGAGCAUGAGAUGCGUUGGUUGGAGGCCUCGUUGCGGAUACCUUUGCGGAACUCGAGUAGAGAUCGGUCAUGCUCCGUUACGGUGUUGACACCAGGAGGAGGAGGGAGAUGAAAGAGAGAGGGAGAGUGUGAAGGAGAGUGUGAAAAGGACAACAAACUCAAACUAAUAAAGGACCCUCCUUGAAGUGUGAAACACGCGCCAAUGAUGCGUGUAAGCAAUUAUUCAAACAUGUAAACGUCGUACACUUGCGCAAGACUUGGAAGUUCGAAGUUCUACCCCACUCUGUUCCUCAAAAGUCUAUUUUUUGUUUCUUGUGUCAAUUUAAAAUGUUUUGCAAGUGUUACUAUCGUUCGGCAUUAAGUUUUCAGUGCUAAGGAUGGUUAUGAAAUUAUGAAGCACCUGCAAAAACUAUAUACAGUUCUAGUGCUGAAUUUUUAUUUCUUGU